UACGUAGGUCCCGAGCGUUGUCCGGAUUUAUUGGGCGUAAAGCGAGCGCAGGUGGUUUAUUAAGUCUGGUGUAAAAGGCAGUGGCUCAACCAUUGUAUGCAUUGGAAACUGGUAGACUUGAGUGCAGGAGAGGAGAGUGGAAUUCCAUGUGUAGCGGUGAAAUGCGUAGAUAUAUGGAGGAACACCGGUGGCGAAAACGGCUCUCUGGCCUGUAACUGACACUGAGGCUCGAAAGCGUGGGGAGCAAAUAGG
rnacentral:rRNA from 1 species